rnacentral:rRNA from 1 species
ACGAACGCUGGCGGCAUGCCUAACACAUGCAAGUCGAACGAGACCUUCGGGUCUAGUGGCGCACGGGUGCGUAACGCGUGGGAACCUGCCUUUAGGUUCGGAAUAACUCAGAGAAAUUUGAGCUAAUACCGGAUGAUGUCUUCGGACCAAAGAUUUAUCGCCUUUAGAUGGGCCCGCGUUGGAUUAGCUAGUUGGUGGGGUAAAGGCCUACCAAGGCGACGAUCCAUAGCUGGUCUGAGAGGAUGAUCGGCCACACUGGGACUGAGACACGGCCCAGACUCCUACGGGAGGCAGCAGUGGGGAAUAUUGGACAAUGGGCGAAAGCCUGAUCCAGCAAUGCCGCGUGAGUGAUGAAGGCCUUAGGGUUGUAAAGCUCUUUUACCCGAGAUGAUAAUGACAGUAUCGGGAGAAUAAGCUCCGGCUAACUCCGUG